GCUGGGCCUGGUGGCGCACACCUGUAAUCCCAGCAGCUGAGGAGGCUGAGGCAGGAGGAUUUUGAGCUAAUCUCACAAUUUGAGUCCCUGAGCAAGUUAGCUAGAGCUUGUCUCAA
rnacentral:sRNA from 1 species